GAUGAACGCUGGCGGCGUGCCUAAUACAUGCAAGUCGAACGAGUGGCGGACGGGUGAGUAAUGUCUGGGAAACUGCCCGAUGGAGGGGGAUAACUACUGGAAACGGUAGCUAAUAACGCAUACCAUCGGAUGUGCCCAGAUGGGAUUAGCUAGUAGGUGGGGUAACGGCACACCUAGGCGACGAUCCCUAGCUGGUCUGCGAGGAUGACCAGCCCCACUUGAACUGAGAAACGGUCCAGACUCCUACGGGAGGCAGCAGUGGGGAAUAUUGCACAAUGGGCGCAAGCCUGAUGCAGCCAUGCCGCGUGUAUGAAGAAGGCCUUCGGGUUGUAAAGUACUUUCAGCGAGGAGGCGUUACUCGCAGAAGAAGUACCGGCUAACUCCGUGCCAGCAGCCGCGGUAAUAC
rnacentral:rRNA from 1 species